rnacentral:rRNA from 1 species
GGUUAAGUUAGAAAGGGCGCACGGUGGAUGCCUUGACACUAGGAGUCGAUGAAGGACGGGACUAACGCCGAUAUGCUUCGGGGAGCGGUAAGUAAGCUUUGAUCCGAAGAUUUCCGAAUG